ensembl:lncRNA
UGUUUGCAUAAUACCCUAACCCAAAGGCUCAGUUUAGCAUUUAUCCAACAGCACAGGCCCUGGAUUGUUGAAGAUGGCCUCAGGAACCAGAACAGGGCCUGGUGUGUUGUACAUGGCCACAGCUAGCAGCACAGGGCCUGGUUUGGUGAAGAUGGCCUCGGCCAGAAGCACAGGGCCUGGUGUGAUAUGAGUGGCCUGAGCAAGAGCCACAGGCCCUGGUGUGGUGUAAGUGGCCUGAGCAAGAGCCACAGGCCCUGGUGUGGUGUAAGUGGCCUGAGCAAGAGCCACAGGCCCUGGUGUGGUGUAAGUGGCCUGAGCAAGAGCCACAGGCCCUGGUGUGGUGUAAGUGGCCUGAGCAAGAGCCACAGGCCCUGGUGUGGUGUAAGUGGCCUGAGCAAGAGCAACAGGCCCUGGUGUGGUGUAAUUGGCCUCAAUAGCAACUAAGGCCCUGGUGUGGUGUAAGUGGCCUCAGCCAGCAGCCACAGGCCCUGGUGUGGUGUAAGUGGCCUCAGAAGCAAAUAAGGCCGUGGUGUGGUGUAUGUGGCCUCAGCCAGUGCCACAGGCCCUGGUGUGGUGUAAGUGGCCUGAGCAAGAGCCACAGACCCUGGUGUGGUGUAAUUGGCCUCAAUAGCAACUAAUGCCCUGGUGUGGUGUAGGUGGCCUCAGCCAGCAGCCACAGGCCCUGGUGUGGUGUAAGUGUGCUGUUGGAUAAAUGCUAAACUGGCUAAACUGAGCCUUUGGGUUAGGGUAUUAUGCUGCGUUCGGUGUGGGAGGCCGCGCCUCGUCCCAUCGCUUCAAUUCCAGCGGUCAGCUUAGGGGGGGUUUGAACAGCUGGUUCCGCUCUCUUAUUUCUCCGAUAAGUCAGGGCCAAGCCAGCUCCGAUCAGCAAGAACCCUGUUAUCAUGGUUCCGAAUAGGUAAAAGUUAGCUUCAUACCUGAGAGAUGGUACCUUCAAAUUCGUCCUCCAUGGUGCUUCUAUCACUAAAACAAUCCGCUGCUGUACUCAUGAUCACAUGACUUAGAUGAUUCUGAUUGGCUGCUCAAAUGCUCAUUAGGGGUGGAGCAUUUUUAUAACAUUAGUUACCAUAGGGCUUUGGAGCGUGAUGUAACGGGGUGGGCGUGGAAAGGAUUUUGGCCUGAUGCGCCAUUUUCGUGGUCAAAAUAUAUGGCGUUAUUUUUGUGCCACUAUUCUGAGCGCACGUAAAAAAAAUUUUGAACCGUCUGAGCUAGUGAUGGCCAAAUGAAGCUUUCUGAAGCACUGAAGCUUGUAUUGAAAAACGGUUCACUACUCGAAGCUUUUCAACACAGUCCUCUCUGGUGACAUCUGGUGGCCAAAAAUAUGAAGAGCAGCUUGAAUCCACAAAAUAAAACCAACCGCUUCAUUAUGAUUGCCCACACUACAGAGUGGAAUCCUGUCUGAUAUUGGGCCUCCGUUGUGUUGCUUUGAACGUGUAUUUUUUGGUGGUUAAAAUGUGUUUUAUUCGUUUAAUAAAUAGUUUUGACCAGUAAACUCUCCUUGUUUAAACAUGCACCAUGGUGUGGUCUUUCUUUGCUUGUGACUUCUUGAUGUUGGUAAAUACAAUAAUUGAAAAAUACCGCGUUACAUAUAUAUACAUAUAAUAAUGUAAAACACAUUAUGGAGUAUGCUUCUGCUGUGAGGUCUUGCCUCCAUGCAGGUAUGCAAUUAAUCGCCGGAGGGGUGUAUUUAUAAAUAAUAUUAUAUUAAGGAAAUUUUCCCAGACAUAUUUUUGACCUGGGGGUAGAAUUGAUUGUGAAAUGGAAAAGGAAAAUGCUUAUGAACUUGCAAAUUAAAAACAUGAUGCAUUGACGGUAACCCUUUUUCAUUUUUAUUUAAAAAGAGAAUUUGUUCUAGUGUGCGAUGGCCG